rnacentral:rRNA from 2 species
CCCGAACUCCUAGGGGAGGCAGCAGGGGGGAAUUUGGAAAAUGGGGGCAACCCUGAUCCAGCCAAGCCGGGGUGUGGAAGAAGGCUUUCGGGUUGUAAAGCACUUUCAGUAGGGAGGAAAACCUUAUGGCUAAUACCCAGGAGGCUUGACGUUACCUACAGAAGAAGCACCGGCUAACUCCGUGCCAGCAGCCGCGGUAAUACGGAGGGUGCAACUGUUAAUCGGAAUUACUGGGCGUAAAGCGCGCGUAGGUGGUUUGGUAAGCGAGAUGUGAAAGCCCCGGGCUUAACCUGGGAACGGCAUUUCGAACUGUCAGACUAGAGUGUGGUAGAGGGUAGUGGAAUUUCCUGUGUAGCGGUGAAAUGCGUAGAUAUAGGAAGGAACACCAGUGGCGAAGGCGGCUACCUGGACCAACACUGACACUGAGGUGCGAAAGCGUGGGGAGCAAACAGGAUUAGAUACCCUGGUAGUCCACGCCGUAAACGAUGUCAACUAGCCGUUGGGACUCUUGAAGUCUUAGUGGCGCAGCUAACGCACUAAGUUGACCGCCUGGGGAGUACGGCCGCAAGGUUAAAACUCAAAUGAAUUGACGGGGGCCCGCACAAGCGGUGGAGCAUGUGGUUUAAUUCGACGCAACGCGAAGAACCUUACCUGGCCUUGACAUCCAGAGAACUUUCCAGAGAUGGAUUGGUGCCUUCGGGAACUCUGAGACAGGUGCUGCAUGGCCGUCGUCAGCUCGUGUCGUGAGAUGUUGGGUUAAGUCCCGUAACGAGCGCAACCCCUAUCCCUGGUUGCUAGCAGGUAAUGCUGAGAACUCCAGGGAGACUGCCGGUGACAAACCGGAGGAAGGUGGGGAUGACGUCAGGUCAUCAUGGCCCUUACGGCCAGGGCUACACACGUGCUACAAUGGCGCGUACAGAGGGCAGCCAACUCGCGAGAGUGAGCCAAUCCCUUAAAACGCGUCGUAGUCCGGAUCGGAGUCUGCAACUCGACUCCGUGAAGUCGGAAUCGCUAGUAAUCGCGAAUCAGAAUGUCGCGGUGAAUACGUUCCCGGGCCUUGUACACACCGCCCGUCACACCAUGGGAGUGGAUGCACCAGAAGUAGUUAGUCUAACUCGGGAUGGAGGACACACAGAGCAGUGGAUCUCGAGAUGACGACGU